AGUUGGGCGGGUUUUGGUGAACAUUUGGGCUGGAAAUUGUCCAUCCAGUCUGGCAACACUGGUGCUGGAUGAAA